rnacentral:rRNA from 1 species
ACUCCUGCGGGAGGCAGCAGUGGGGAAUAUUGGACAAUGGGCGCAAGCCUGAUCCAGCCAUGCCGCGUGAGUGAUGAAGGCCCUAGGGUUGUAAAGCUCUUUCACCGGUGAAGAUAAUGACGGUAACCGGAGAAGAAGCCCCGGCUAACUUCGUGCCAGCAGCCGCGGUAAUACGAAGGGGGCUAGCGUUGUUCGGAUUUACUGGGCGUAAAGCGCACGUAGGCGGACUAUUAAGUCAGGGGUGAAAUCCCGGGGCUCAACCCCGGAACUGCCUUUGAUACUGGUAGUCUUGAGUUCGAGAGAGGUGAGUGGAAUUCCGAGUGUAGAGGUGAAAUGCGUAGAUAUUCGGAGGAACACCAGUGGCGAAGGCGGCUCACUGGCUCGAUACUGACGCUGAGGUGCGAAAGCGUGGGGAGCAAACAGGAUUAGAUACCCGGGUAGUCCC